rnacentral:misc_RNA from 1 species
AUCACUUGUGGAGUUUCAGAGGAGUGAAAAGAGCAAGCCUCAGCCACGGGAUGAGACAAGUGGGGGAGAGACCCACGUUGGCAAGCCAAGGGAGAAGAACUUCCACAGCACGAAGGAGGAUCGAAGAGGUGAGAGGCCUGUGUUGAAGUGCUUCCUGUGCGAUGGACAGCAUAAGGCAAGGGAUUAUCCAAAGAAGAUAUCGUUAUCGGCCAUGGAUAGAGAGCCGGAACAGCCUUCUCCACCACCGGAGCCAGCAAGCAUGGGGAGCUUGUGGUAUUGUUCGCUUGGUGCCAUGAGGUUAGUUAGCCCGAAUGAUGCUCCUAGCGAGGAUGGGGAGUAGGAUGAUGGCAUGGGGGAUGCCGCUGAAGGGAAGAAUCCAGAAGAAGUGGCAUUACCGAAGAAAGACAGACUAAGGCAACAUCGCUCAAGGAAGAGCAGGAAUAGGCGCAAGGCCAAGAGAAAGGCUGAGGGCAAUGGGUCGCAGGGACAUGAG